CCAAAGGCUCUUUUCAGAGCCACUCACAAAAUCAAAAAAGGGCAC
rfam:Pelodiscus sinensis unplaced genomic scaffold scaffold49, whole genome shotgun sequence.